ACGAAUCCUGCGAGUACGUCAUCAAAACGUGUGUGCAUCCAGCCACUCAAAGGAUUAUCGAACCUUAUAAAAAGUAUCGAUACGCCGCAGUGUAGGGGUGAUACAGAGAAACCUGGCUGCAGUGGGAUAACGUCGAAAAACCGCCUCAAACGUAAAAACGCCGUGGGUAACCGGACAAAAGCAAAACCUCCGGUUGAUUGUGAGAGAGACACCGACUGUAUUCCACAGACACCGGAUCGUAAGAGACCAAGACAAUCAUUUGGAGCAAUAGUUGAUGUGAAUGCUGAUGACAACGUGGUCCCAGAUGUAGAUGAUGUCCAGAACUGGGGUGAUGGUCUGUUAGAAUCGUGGGAUGCCUGUGAAUUCACUGUGUUACCUAAAGAAACGCAACCGCAUGUUCCAUCUGAUGAAAACGUGGCGGUCGUGGCGGAAUCAGACCCUGAGGAACUACCUUCAAAUCAGGAGGCUUUCAUACGGGAGUCACAUCUGAAUAUAGACACUCAA